GAUGAACGCUGGCGGCGUGCCUAAUACAUGCAAGUCGAGCGAACGGACGAGAAGAUUGCUUCUCUGAUGUUAGCGGCGGACGGGUGAGUAACACGUGGAUAACCUACCUAUAAGACUGGGAUAACUUCGGGAAACCGGAGCUUAUACCGGAUAAUAUUUUGAACCGCAUGGUUCAAAAGUGAAAGACGGUCUUGCUGUCACUUAUAGAUGGAUCCGCGCUGCAUUAGCUAGUUGUUAAGGUAACGGCUUACCAAGGCAACGAUGCAUAGCCGACCUGAGAGGGUGAUCGGCCACACUGGAACUGAGCCACGGUCCAGACGCCUACGGGAGGCACCAGUAGGGAAUCUUCCGCAAUGGGCGAAAGCCUGACGGAGCAACGCCGCGUGAGUGAUGAAGGUGUUCGGAUCGUAAAACUCUGUUAUUAGGGAAGAACAUAUGUGUAAGUAACCGUGCACAUCUUGACGGUACCUAAUCAGAAAGCCACGGCUAACUACGUG
rnacentral:rRNA from 1 species